rnacentral:lncRNA from 1 species
AUAUGGAUCGUUGAUGUCUCCAUAAACUUCGUCUCCUUCCUUGAAACUCUCCACUUUGCUCCCAACUUUCACCACAACUCCGGCGGCAUCGAAUCCAGGAAUAAUGGGAAGAGGCGAAUCGUAGGGGCCGAAAGCGCCGCCGCGCCUCUUGAAAUCGACGGGGUUGAGCGCCGCCGCGACAACCUUAAUUAGGACCUGAUCGUCCUUGAGCUCCGGCACUGCCACGUCGGACUCGAGCUUCAAAACCUCCGGGCCGCCGUACUGUUUGUAAGACCACGCCUUCAUUUUCGGAUUUUUUCUUUUUCUUUUCAACAGAAUUAAACUGCGGAAUAUAUAUAUUUUUUUGGUCUAAGAAAGGUUUUGGUUUGGGAUUAUGAACGAUGAUGAUUUGUUUCUGAGUUCCUAGGAUUAAACCUGCUCUGAUACCAUGUUAAAAUAUGGUAUUAUCAUAAUGCAUAGAGAAAGAUAAAGAGAAGCAAAUGAUUGUUAUUGUAUUGCUUGAUGUUGUAUUGCUCUGAUUACAAUCUAUCCCAUUUUUUAUACUACAAAAGAUUGAGAUGAUAGUCAUACAAGGAUCCCUACGAUUAAGGGAUUUUUGUUCAUUUUUGACUGAAGUUGGCUACUGCUUUCUCUGACUUUGUAUGCUGCCUUCUCUGACUUUGUAUUUUCAACAGAAACAACUUCGUGGAUUUUUCAACAUUUCCUUAGCGCCUCGAACACUGAAGUAGGAUUCAUCCAUAUCGUAUAAACCUCUGUAUAAAGUGUAUAGGCUUUUUUUUACAUAGCGUUUUCCCGCAGCUAUGCCCAAAGGCAACGCGAGGAAGCUUAACAAAACGUUUACGAAAUCGCUGUUGGCUUCCGCGAAUAACACCUUUGUAUUCUCUUUGUCGACCAUUACUUCAAGAGGCAGCGUAAUACCCAUUGUUUCGGUUGUAGGGGAGAAGAAGGCAGAGUUUUGUGUUGGUUGAUGUCUAGAAUUUGUGAAGAUAGGCAGGUUUUAUAAGAGCUUGCGAGUAGUUAACCAAAAGUCUAUUGUCGUCCCACAAAAUUCCACUGAUCGAUCUUUCGAUCAAAAUACUCAACUUCAUUAACAUUUGUGGUUAUCAAUGACAUUCAAUUUAUAACGUAUAUAAACUAUUAUUGGAUCUUGAUCUUGAUGUGGGUCUUUGAAGCACUUCCAUGUGUUAAAUAAUUUGAUAAUUUUGAAUAAAAACUACAGGUUUGUAACGUAUGUUCAAUAUAUAUGAUCGAUUUUAAUAAACAAAUUGGUGAAUUACCUGAUCAGGUUAGUGAUUAAUGUAGAUUUAUUAGAAAUGAAUCUUGUAAAAAUAAUUUAAGACUGGCGUUACAAAAGUAAUUAAUUAACCAAGUUUUCAUCUUGAUUUAGAAGAAGUGGGAAAUGCAUAAUACUAAUAAAUACUAGUAUGCCUUUUGAUUUUCUCCGUAGUUGUCAGCUUUAAUUUCCAUUUCUCGUGCUUGGUGAAUUAACAAAGAGUCUCUUGUCCCACCGUUACUAAUUAAUUAUAUUUAGUGACUGAUUUCGAUAAAAAGUAAUUGAACGAUCACUUCUUUAAUUCAAUAAAUCUUGAUUUAUUUAAUUUUUUUAAUAAAAAUAGGAUUUAUUUACUUUAUUAUAUUCUCUACAAUCUACUUAUUUUUUUUAUUUUUUUUUUUGUUCUAUUAUUUAUUUUUUAAUUAAAAAUUAAAAAGUUUAACUAAAAAAAAUUAAGUACAAAAAANAAAUUAAGUGAUUGUAAUUAAGUGAUGGCAAGAGCUAAAGCCUAAAUGAGAUGAAACAAUGAAGAAUGUUAUAUGUUUCACUUACUGAUGCAAAUUUACUAGCAAUUAAAACACAAUAGCAUUUCACAAACUUAAGAUAUGUAUUUGAUGUGGAAAAUGCACACACUUAUUUUUCUUAAUUGCCUCAGCAUCACAUAUAACAUUUUCUGUUAGUUUUACUCCUAUUACGUACAUAUUUUAUUUUAAGGUUAUUUUUUGUGUAUUAUAUACAUAUUGGGCCCAAGUCGGAAUAGAAGAAAAUUAUGUCAUGGGGAAUUCAGCCCAACUCAAAAUCUGGUUUUUGAUGUUGAAUUGUUGAGCUUAAUUUGAGUAAAUUGGUGUUUUAAUUGCUUCUUUGUUAUCAAUUCAAGGAAUAAAAAUGGAUUAUAGUUAGGCAUAAUUUAAAAGAUAAAUGAUGGAGCUGGGCUUAUAUUUUGUAUUGGGCCGAAAAUUUAUUUAUUAUAUAGAGAAGCCCAAUUAGUGUAUGUUAAUUCAUAGGUAAUAGGUUAGUUGAUAAAUGCCUUAGAUAUUUUAUUAAUGCUUAAGGCCAAAGGUCUUGGGUUUGAGUCUUAUGUAGCGCGGCCUUUAAAUUUCUUUAUUUAAUGCUGUAAUUUAUCAAAAAAAAAAAAGUUUACUUCAUAGCUAAACCAACAACUCCUACGGUUACUAAUAAAAUUAACAUCAAAUCUUGAUUAAUUCUAUAACUCGAUCUAAAAUCAAGAGCACUUCAUAUGAGUUAGCAACAUCUACACAAACACAAUGGCUUCGGCAGAGUGGAAGAGAGGAACCUCAUCUUACGUACGAGCACGAACACGCUAUCGAACGAGGAAGGAGAUCGUGCAUCGAAGAUCCUUUCAGUUGGCUAGAAUCCGUUACUCCAACGAGUCUAUCUGCGUCUGCUUCUAGUCUGAGAUGACGGUGAGCUUGUAGGAAUCUACUCGACUUGACUCAGCUCGAUUCGUUUGCUUCUUUCUGCGUCUCCACGCGAGUUGGAUCCGUCUAGCUGCAAUUCCUCGCCAAUAAGGCGAUUCAUACCUCAAUGCAAAGAAGGCAACGAGUAGCAAUAUAUGAUGCUCACAAUGCUAUGCACGAACGUGUUUGCAAGCUAACGAGCCCAAUACUUUCAAGUUAAUCGAUUCAUUUAUAGGUUAUGCAUUAUAAAGAAGUUACCUUAUGGCGCCUUGAACAAGUGAACUCCUUAAGAAUCUUGCGAAGAGAUCUUCAAAACAGCAGCUCGUAAUACAAAGGCCUCGACGUUUGUUAAACAAGUUACUAGUAAUCUACAUACAGCAAAACUCACCUGCGGCAGGGGAAGCAACUCCUCGAUCGCUCUUUCAUUUGCCUGAAAAUCGAUAGAUGGACAAUCUCAAACACUUGACAUAACAGAAACAUUAGACGUAAUAUUGCAAAGUAGUAACACUAACCGUUAGGCAAGUGCAGAUCACUUGACCUAAAAAGAAGAUUGACAAAAGUGAAAGGAAAACUUGUCUUUUAAUUCUUGGCACAAGCACAGCUAAAGGAUUGCACUCUAAAAAUGAUCUCUAUCCAAGAGGAUCAUACGGCCAAUCGAGCUGUUGUAAUUUGUAGCAUGCCAUGCUAGCUACGAAGCCGGAAGCUUCCACGUUGAGGUCUCCAUCGCACCAAAUCGUGUCUAAUUUGAAGUUCAAUAAGUUUCAAAAAACUCCCCGGUGUUAUGUCCCACUCUGGGCCUCGAAAUGCAUACGAGUUAAAUGAGAAUCUCGAGAUUUGGAGAGGAACCAAUGUCAUUCAGUAAUUCCAAGGAUACCCCCCUAACCCACAAUUAACACCUUAGAUUGAUGGAAACAUUGAAAGAGGAAUCGUAUUACACUCAUCUUUAUCCGGAUUUUAACCCAAUAUAAGUUCUCAAUUCUGGAGUUGGGAGAUAUAACCCAAGCAACUCUGGGUUUCUUUCAUCAUCAUCAUCAUCAUAAGGCUUCAACUCCACUCAAUAUUAAUUCUUUAAAUUAGGAAUUCUUUUGAAACUUCCCUUGUACAACUUUUGCACUCACACCAAAAGGAGUUUGUCAAGGUAGCAUCAUCAGUAUUAGGGGUUGGUAGGUCGCUUCCCCAAAUCUGAUCCCCUCUAGUUGUUGCAGGUUCCAAAUUUGCACAGGCAUAUAAGACUGAACUCCACGCUUUUUAAUGUAAAUAUGUGGAUCGUAAUCAAGAAUUGAAGUUAAAAAGGUUGGAUAUGGAAUGAGGGAGCUCCCCGUUGUAUUUUAGGGAAAGGUACCGCAGACAAACAAGUUUUAAAAUUUCAAUUGGGAUAUGGUAAAAUCGAACUCUAUCAGCACGUAGUACUCUAAGCAACUUGAAACCCAUGGCAUGUAUUGGAUUGGAUAGGUGAUAAGGACCAACAAAGGAGAGAACGGCAGUGGAUGCACAAUCACUUUUUAUCGAAUCAUACACUUGUUUGAAGAAAUAAAUUAAUGGGCACACAAGCGACGUGGUCUUUUUUACAUCAUCACAACCUCGUAAGACAUGUAGAAACUUGAUCCUACUAGCUUCUACCUUACAUAAGUGCUGCCAACAAGAAUGCACGCGAUACUUCUCAAUACCAAAUUUUCUGUGUCGAGAAAAGAUAUACCCUAGAAACUUUUCCCAGAAACCUUCAAAACUUUUCUCAACAUUCAGUUCAAGAAAUCCCUCAACACCCAAAAGAUUAUUAAUAUGGAAUGGACUCUGAUCAGCAUAAGGAGGGAAAGCUCCCAUAUAGAGGAAGAACAUUUUUAAAUGUUGGGGUAAGUAGUCAUAACUUGGGAAAAGUACCUCUGAUAUUUGAUUAUAUGCAUCCUUGAAAAGUGAGUUGUGUUGUUUGUAGGCUACCUCAGUCCAGUAUUCUGGGGUCUUGUCGGCUUUUGAUAGGAGCUCUGCAACUGUGACUAUCAUAAGAGGAAGACCUUCACAUUUCUCAGCAAUCUUCUCUCCCAGUUUCUCAAGUUGAGGAGGGAAACCGUCUUCACUAAACACCUUCACACCAAACACCUUCUCACCAAGUAGUUUCUUACUUUCUUCUUCAUUCAACAAGUUCAAUCUCAUGCCCCAAUGCUGCUUGUAUGUUAUACGUUGUCUACUUGUAAGUAAGAACUGAAUCCCUCCAAGAGUAUUCUUUUCUCGCAAGCAAUUUAUCAAGCGAUCUAUUGCUUGUUCCUCCCAAACAUCAUCCAACACGAUGAGACAUUUCUUAUCCUGCAAUUUUUCUUUCAAUAGUCCAACUAAUUCCUCAUCAUCAUCAUCUCCUUGGGCAAGCAUUCGGUAAGCGUUGGGAUCCACUUGAGCUAGAACGCAGCGUAAUAAUUCAUUGGGUUUGCAUUUUCUGCCCACUUUGACCCAUGCUCGAAACUCAAAAUGGCUCCGAAUUGAUGGAUCUUCAAAAAUAUGUUUAGCAAGAGUUGUCUUUCCAACUCCCGCCAUCCCAAUAAUAGAAUCAUCUUUACCUUCAAGAAGACCAUCUCUGACGUUUUGAACUGCAUAAGAUUGUCCAACCAUAUUUGACUUGAUUCCACUAGAAUCGAUUCUUGAGGAAAUAGGCUCGCCUUCUUCUUCAGCCAUAUUCUUCAUUUCUUUAGUGUACUCCACCUUCAUCAUCUUCACCAUCUCGACGAAGCAAUCAACAUGGUGUUGCAGACUCUGUAGAUCUACAGAGAAAGACAAGUUGUGUCUCUCGCUUUGGAGUUGUGGAAGAAUCUGAGGUAAGAGAUGGGAUUCGAGUAAAUCUUCGAAUUCCCAAACUGCCUCUUUUAUGAGUUCAUCCAAAGCAUUCACCUUCGUCCUGAUCUUGCUGCAGCUGGUCUCGUCCAAUUUGAGCAGAACUUUCUGCAAUCGAUCCAUCUGGUCGUAGGCAGGUUGUAAGAUUUGUGGAGAGUGGGAAACGAGAGAAAUGCGAGACGAUUGUAGAAUACGCAGAAUCGUAUUCUUGAGAGAAGCCGCCGCACCAAAAGCCGCCAUACCCAAAUUAUCAGCUGAGAAUUCGAUUAAAGUCAACUGCAAUUCAGUCGCCUAACAAAGAAUUGGAGAAGAAGAAGGAAUUAUAAUAAGCAAAUAGAGAUGAAACAAAUGAUAGAUCUCAGCUCUCUGCUUACCUCUUGGAGGAGUUGGCGCAAGUCAACGGUGGCAGCAGCUGGUUUUGAUACAAAUUCAGAAACAUUCAAUACCACAUUCAAGAACUUCAGUAAAUGAUUUGAAAAGCUGUACGUGUAUAAUAAUGUAAUUAAGAUAAGAUGGACCCCCCUACUACGAUCGGAAAGCAGUGCAAUUUUUCAUGAUUUUUAAUUUUUAACUUUUCUUAAGUACUCCCUCCGUCCCAAGGUAAGUGAGACCUUUUUUUUUGGCACGGAAAUUAAGAAAAGUGUAUUUUGUGUGUAGGUGAAAAAGUGAAAAGGUGUUUAAAGAGUAAAACUUUUACCAAAAAGGGAAAGAGUCUCACUUAUGGUGGGACACCCAAAAUAGAAAGAGUCUCACUUACAGUGGGACGGAGGGAGUAAUUUUUUUUUUAAUUCUCAGGAUUCUUACCUACAUAUAUAUUUAAUACUAUUAUUAUACUCUUUAAAAUAAAAAUUAUAAAUUACAUGAAUGACAUUGGCCUCGUAUGUGUCAAUCACUUAAGAGACAAUAAUAUUCUUUGCACUACUCGAGUUUUCAAAAUUACCAAAUAAAUCUCAAAAUCAAUUUAUCGGCUGAGAGCACCAAUAAUACCCUUUCUCGAUUUUUUACUUUAAAAACUUAACUUGAUUUUGAAAAUCAAAUUAUCAAAAUACUUUCCUUGCAAAAUUAUAUAUAAUACUUUAAUUUAUUUCAAAUAAACUAUUUUCACGUUCUAAACCAUAUAACCAAGUAAUUUAUAGUGCACGUAAUUACUUAGUAUUAUGCAAAUUCAUGAUUUGACAAAAUUCUACGUCGAUCAAUUACUAUUCUCCUUUCGUUUCAAAAAAAAAUAAAAUUACUAUUCUCCUUUUAAUUUACCAUGGCCCAAGUUAUCAAAGCCCAUCACAUAAUUGAAUUAACCCCAGUUUUGGGCCUAAUCUAUUAAUUUUAGCACCUCGGCCCAUUUCCUUUUUAAUCAACAAACUCUUAAAUGCCAAAAUCCCCCAAAAAAAAUAUAGACAAUUUCUCCUUCAAUUUGUUUUUAACCCAUAAACGAGAAGGAAUUCUAUGCAGUCAGAAAAGCGUUCAAAAAAUGGCCGCUAUUAUUACUUGCGAAAAAUUUCGUCUUGAAAGUUUAUAAUACUAAUGUUAAAGCUUUCUUAACCAAAAAAAUAGAAUCUAAACCUGAAAAGGCUAGAUUGCUUAGAUGGCAAGCUGAAUGCCAAUAUUAUGAUUAUGAUAUUGUCAUUUUGAAAUAUGAUGAAAAUGUUCUUGCAGAUUUCUUAACAAGGGAUGGAGCCAACUGAGGUUGACACCAUCAUGGAUAACCAGAGGCAGCUCCUGGAAAACCUGGAGAUGCUACAACAAGAAUGGCAAGAGUGCUUACUCCAUGCCAAAUAAGCGGGAAGGAUACAAUCGGAUGAUGAGUCCAAAGUGUCUAACCGUAUACGAGAAUGUCUCAAAAAGAUGUUAAGUCUUAAUGAGGCAACCUACAAGCCGCUCCUGCGCGGGAUUAUGGCCCCCAUGAUCGAAGCAGGCAUUACCGUACAGGCCGGAUUACCUGUAGCAGGGGAUUCAAAUACCCCUAGCACAAGUUCUGAGGCUAAGGUGUUAAAACCGGAUCCUCGAGAAAAAGAUGUUGCUAAGGCUUCACCGCCCGAACCAACAUGUCAACCCUCCACCUCUGGGGUAAAAGAGGGAGAGAUCAGUCUUAGGCCACUGACAGGCAAAUCUAAGAUUGAUAUUAACAUUAUUGAAAUUUCUCCUGUUUGGCAGAUGUACCAAUCCAGGUGAGAGAAACUUAAUACCAGAAAGGGACUUAAUCCGAGCUAUUGUCGGGUUGAUGUCAGAGGAAAAUAUCCUCGUGUAUGGAUGACCCCCGGAGCCAAUCCUCAGGAGGUCAAGGAGUGGUAUGAAUUUGGGGCACUAGCCUCAGUUUAUACUACAUCACCAGCAUUUAGCGAAAUCAAGGGUCUACCAAGGUGGAUCCAGGAAACAGUCUAUGAUGCGUGGUCGAACAACCAAUCCCUUAACCGGGGAGAUGUCCUGGAGUUAUAUUUUCUCAGUGCAGCUCCAGAACCAGCAGGCAAAGGGAAUCAUGAAGCUUUCCAUUUCAUUAAGCUUCGGAGACCUGAUACGGAGGCCUUAAACCGAGUUAAGGCACCUGAUCAUGAAGUUUCCAUUGUCACGACAUUUACGGAGGAUCAAAUCUCCACAAGACGUGCAUGGGGACUAUGGGUCUGUCUCACAGAGAUGGACAAAGUAAAGUACCAAUUCAAGUUCUCUCAUAACGCAGGACUUGGAUCUUUCUUGUUAAAUUCAAUGACAGGAAAAACUACAAGCUUCGCGGAGAAGGCCUUCGAAGAAAAGAGGCAGACACUCUGGCGAAACAAGAUAGCGGGAAGCAAAGAAACCCGUCACAAGUUCUGCAACAUGGCUCAUCUAGGCCAUUGGGUAGAUCAUAUCUGCGCGGAGUGUCCCACGCAGAAAGAACCGGAGUUCGGCAAAGGCUUCUUUCCAAAGCCUAACAAGAAGAAGUUCCGGUCUGACGAGUAUGAGGAGCACAAGACUCCACAUGGACGAGCACCUCGGGCACCAAAAAAGUAAGAUGCCCGACAAAGAAAAGGGAGUCAUGUGACUCAAGACAGGAGGACCACCCACUAAAAGAAAAACGACAAAAGUGGGUGGAUAAUUUUGCAGGCCAACUACCCACUGACCAAAGUGGGUAAUUCUACAGGAAAUCCACUCAUCAAAAGAAGACAAAGGAUGGUGGAAAAGUUGCAGGCUGGCCCCUCACAGCAUUAUCAAUGAAAUAAUGGAGUAUGGGACCAGAAAAGCACCACUCACCGAAAGCAGGAGACAAAGUUGGGUGGAAGAUAAAGUAGCUGGACCUCACCAACCAUUAUCACAAAAGGAUAAAGGAAGGUUCAACUCCAUGUGAAGGCACUAACUAGUGUCGGCAAUCAUGGCCGACAAAAGAAGGUGGCCGUCACCAUCCAAGUUAGCUGGCCACGAAGAAGGAAUCCAAGGCCAACUACCAAGCAAUUAUAGAGGGGAUCAAACCUCUAUAUAAACCCAAGCUCUGGAGAGAAGAGAUCAUCGAAAAUUCUCACAACUCUUUCACACAACACACUCUCUCUCUAGAAAAUUAUCUUUGUAUUUUUUAAAAUUUUGUUUUUCAAAGUUUUAAUUCUAGUUUUUGUUUCUUUUUAUUUGAUGUAUACAAGUAUCAGCUACCAAUGAGUAGCUAAACAAGUUAGUCUCCUCCCUUAGGGAGAUUAUUAUGAAAUAAAUUAAGUAUUUUAUAAUUCCUCUUUUAACGUUUUGUUUUGCCCAAUAUUCCGGUUGAGUAAAAAUAUUUUCUUUUCAUUUAUCAACAAAAAUAUUUGACGACGAAACACAGUGAAGGAGGAAGGUUGCAACCAUCUCUUGCGAGUGCGUGGUUGGACGAGAGCCUGGAGGGCGGAAGGUCCGUAAAACGCGACGAGAACUGACUCCUGAAGGUGACCAUUCGGCGAAAGGUAUACUGUUGAUUUAUGUUUUGAAUUAUUUUGAAGUGUUACGGAAGCAUGUUGGGCCAUAUUUUGAUUUUGCAUUAUAAUUUUGGGUAAUUUUGCCUUGAAUGAUAGCAUGUUGGGGUUCCUUGUUGAUGCUUUGUUGAUGUGGGGGUCUUUUUUAUAAUUUGUCUGAAUGUUGGGUAGAUUUGUAAUUAUCAUGAAGAUGAAUGUGGGGAGAAUGGACAACCUUGAAAGUAUUUGAUAUUUUGUGGAUUUUUUAAAGAUGGUGGGGAAUAUGGAUUUUCUUCAAAGUUGGUGAUAUUCUAUGCAAUUAUCCCUUUUUUUAAUUAUAUUGUUUAUCUAUUUAGGUUCAUUGCUACAUGGAUUGAAAAAUGUGCCUGAUUGCAUUCAUUGUGGUGCAAGAAGAUUUGAAUAUGAACCUCCUACUUUUUGUUGUGAUAAUGGAAAAGUUAAACUUGCAUUUUCUGAAGUUCCUCCGGCGUUGGAUGAGUUGUUUACAGCCCAGUCAGAAGAAGCUAUUAAUUUCAGAAGGAAUAUUCGUGCUUAUAAUAGUAUAUUCUCAUUUACUUCGUUUGGUGUAAAAUUGGACAAAGAAUUGGCAUCUGCAAGACGGGGAGUUUAUUCUUUUCGAGCACAAGGCAUGGUUUAUCAUGAUCUUCCUGGAUUGAUCCCACAAUAUGCGUCUCCAAUAUUUUUUCAGCUAUACUUUUAUGACACACAAAGUGAGUUUGAGAACAUAAUUAACAUAAUGCAAAAUCAAGUUUUGUAAGAAGCAGUUGUACAGAUGCUCAUGAAAAUUUUAGAGAUCAACCCGUAUGCAAAAUUCUUUCGAAGAUUGAAAGAUUAUCCUUCAAUGGACAAUGUUCAGCUUCAUAUUUCUAAAGAUGUCAACUUAGAUCAACGAGUAUAUAAUUCUCCACAUGCAGAUCAAGUUGCAGCUAUAUGGGUUGAGGGAAAUAAUGAAAAUAUUCCAUUGGAGCGGGAUAUUGUAGUUCAUGCUCAUUCCGGCGACAGACAUAGAAUAAAGCAUUAUUAUGGAUGUUAUGAUCCAUUGCAAUAUCCACUUCUUUUUCCAAUGGGCGAAACAGGUUGGCAUCAAAACAUUAGAAAGAUUGAUCCAGCAUCUUUGGUUCGUAACACAAAUUCUGUUUCUACUUCUACUUCAUUAGCAAGAACCAUAACUGCAGGCGAUAUUAUCUCCAAUGAAGAACAAGGUAUCUCUAUUAAGUUUUUAUAAAUUGAUUGAUGAUUAAAUUAGUUAAGUAUCAUAUUUUAUAUUUUUAUAAUGUUUAUAAUUGAUUUUACUAAUUUGAUAAAUUUUAGUAUUAAACUUUUGGAUAAUUUUAUUCUUCUAAAGUUAUAUUAUUUCAAUCAUGAGAUUAUAAUUCGCUAUGAGUAGAGAACAUUCUUUUCAUUCCCACCCAUUAACUGUAGCAUACUAAUCAUAUAAACAAUAAUAUAUAUGGAUAUUAUGAUCCAUUGCAAUAUCCACUUCUUUUUCCAAUUGGCGAAACAAGUUGGCAUCAAAACAUUAAAAAGAUUGAUCCAAUGUCUUCAGUUUGUAACACAAAUUCUAUUUCUACUUCUACUUUAUUAGCAAGAACCAUAACUGUAGGCGAUAUUAUCUCCAUGAAGAUCAAGGUAUAUCUAUUAACUUUUUAUAUAUUGAUUGAUGAUAAAAUUAGUUAAGUAGUUAUCAUAUUUUAUAUUUUUAAGUUUAUAAAUUGAUUUUAAUAAUUUGAUAAAUUACAAUAUUAAACUUUUGGAUUUAAGCGUGUGUAAAAAAUAAAAAUAUACUUUGAAGUCUUUCUGCUCUUAUCACUAACUACUGGUGCAUGGAUGACCUAAAUCCAUAAAGUGUUUAUUUGUAUUUAGAGUGUUUAGGUAAUAAUGAGUAUAUUUAAUUAAAUUUUUAAACAUAGUUUGAAUGAAAAUCUUUUGGUUGUUAAUUGGUUUGAGAUUCUUUUAUAUAAUUAAGGAAUUGUUGACAAUUAUUUAUUCUGUAACUGUUAUAUUUUAUUUUAUUUCACUAAUCACUAUAAUAUAACUUUUAUUAUUUUUAUGUUGUAUUUUUCUAUAUUUAUAGGUGUUAGAAGAUAAAACAGUAAGAAUGUAUUGUGCAAAAAAUAUAUUUGCUAUAAGAUACAGAUUAGAAAUCCAAGACAAUCCAUACUUUUAUUAGCUAGAAGAUUAUUACAUCAAUAUAUAGUGGAUAUGUAUAUAGAAUUAGAGACAACAAGACUAAAUUUUUUCGUCAAAACCAAUCAAGUAUGAGAGCAGAAUUGUAUCAAGGAAUUGUGGAUAGUGUCUUUAAUGGAGAAUUAAGAGGGAAUGAAGUUGGCAAAAGAAUUGUUCUACCAGCAACAUUUAUAGGAGGACCAAGAGAUAUGCGUCAUAAUAUCUUGAUGCAUUGACAUUAGUACAAAAAUUUGGAAAACCAGAUCUAUUCAUUACAAUGACUUGCAAUCCAGAGUGGAAAGAAAUACAGCAAGCAUUAUAUGAUGGUCAAACAGCUCAAGAUCGUCCAGACUUAACUACACGAGUAUUUCGAGCAAAACUGCAAGACUUGAAAUAUCAAUUAUUCAAGAGGAAAAUUUUUGGACAUGUAGCUGCACAUGUUGAUGUAGUUGAAUUUCAAAAAAGAGGGUUACCACAUGUCCACAUGCUGAUAAUUUUCAAGUCUGGGCAUAAGUUGAAUACGACAAGUGAAAUAGAUAAGUUUGUAAGUGCCGAACUUCCUGAUGAAGAAAACAAUUCCGAAUUGUUUGAAUUGGUGAAAAAACAUAUGAUGCAUGGACCUUGCGGAGAGAAAAAUCUAAAUAAUCCUUGUAUGGUAAAAGGAAAAUGCAAAUGCCAUUAUCCACGACCAUAUUGUGAAAGCACACAACAAGGUAAAGAUGGAUAUCCAAUUUACAGAAGAAGAAAAAAUGGAUCAAUUGUACGUGUUCGGAAUGCAGACUUAGACAACCAAUGGGUUGCGCCAUAUAAUGCACAUCUAUUGUCCUGAUACAACUGCCAUAUUAAUGUCGAGGUAUGCUCUGGUAUCACAGUUGUUAAGUAUUUGUACAAAUAUAUCUAUAAGGGACAUGCUAGGGUGGCCAUUCACAUAACCCAAGAUGAUGAGCUGCGUCAAGUUGAUGAAAUCAAACAAUUUCAAGAUGCACGAUGGGUAUCUGCACAAGAAGCAAUGUGGAGAAUUUGUGAAUUUGGUCUGAAUGAUAUUUCUCCAGCAGUUAUCAACUUACAGCUUCACCUUCCUAACAAACAGUUUGUAUCCUAUCACGCAUCCCAAAAUCUGCAGAAGCUUUUAUUGUGGGAUCAUGUUUCAAAAACAAUGCUAACUGAAUAUUUUACUAUGUGUGCUACAAGUGAAAAGGCAAGGCAGUUUCUCUACAGAGAAUUUCCAGAGCAUUACGUAUGGAAUAAGAGGGACAAAAUUUGGACAGAAAGGCAGAAAAUUGGCGUUAUUGGACGUAUAAGUGCAGUAAGUCCGAUUGAAGGAAAAAGGUACUAUAGAAAAAUUAUUGUUGAAUCAUGUUAGGGGACCAACCUCUUUCCGACAUUUAUUGACGGUUAAUGGUAUAGAAUGCUCAACAUUCAAAGAAGCGGCACAAAAAAGGGGUUUAUUAGAAGCUGAUCAUAGAUCACACAUGUUCAACGUGCAUCGCACGUUCUCACUGCUAGUUUCAACAAAAGUGCAAAAUAAUGAUACCAAUACACAAAAGUAUGUUCAUAAGAUGAUUUACAAAGUAAUACAACAUAUCNAGCUCAGCCAAUUCGAAUUGCUCUCCAACAGAAGAAAUCUUGACGGACGUUAUACGCCAACGGAUCUAUUCAAGAGUUCUCCUACAAUAUCGCCAGGAUCACUUCAACCGUCACCGAGGCACCUCCCUCAAUAGUACGAUGUCGUGACCGCUGAGGGAGGCCCCCUCUCACGGUGCGAUGCCCGUGUUCGUUGGGGAAGGCCUUCUCCACGACACGAUGCGUGUUUAUGAUUGUUAAUGAUGAAGAAUGCCCUUAUGCUAUUUAUGAAUUUGGAAAUGUUUAAUGAGCAAAGGAUAUGAAAGAAACUCAUGCCUCUUAUGCGAUAUUGUGAAAUUGUUAAUGAUGUUAUGUUAUAUGCUUGGCAACUGCCCACUAAGUACUCUUGUACUUAGCCCUUCGAUGUUUAUGUUUGUGCAGGUUGAGCUGUGAUGGGCGAUGAAGUGUUGUUGCUGAGUGGAGUUUUUGUCAAACUUAAAGUAGGCUCAGAAAGGGUACAUGUCUUCAUACAUGUAUCUCAGUUAUGCAUUCCGCUGUAAACACUGAUUAUUUCAGUUACGCCUUCCGUUGCAAACUCUGAUAAUAUUUUAGCCAAGCCCCUAACGAUGCCUUUUUCCUUUUAAGGAAUAUAACGCGUAUACAAGUUCUUUGAGUACCCUUUUUAUGCGACCUAUGCCUUUUUCCUUUUUAAGGAAUAUUUCACGCGUAUUCAAGUCCUUUGAGUAUUCUUUUAUGCGCCCCUUUCUCAACCCGCUUCUUAAUUUCCCUUCCCCAGUCAUGGUUUUCCCGGAUUAAUUAUCCUUAAUUAAGGCCGGUCGUGACAAAUCCAGAGUGGAAAGAAAUACAACAAGCAUUAUAUGAUGGUCAAACAGCUCAAGAACGUCCAGACUUAACUACACGAGUAUUUCGAGCAAAACUGCAAGACUUGAAAUAUCAAUUAUUCAAGAGGAAAAUUUUUGGACAUGUAGCUGCACAUGUUGAUGUAGUUGAAUUUCAAAAAAGAGGGUUACCACAUGUCCACAUGCUGAUAAUUUUCAAGUCUGGGCAUAAGUUGAAUACGACAAGUGAAAUAGAUAAGUUUGUAAGUGCCGAACUUCCCGAUGAAGAAAACAAUUCCGAAUUGUUUGAAUUGGUGAAAAAACAUAUGAUGCAUGGACCUUGCGAAGAGAAAAAUCUAAAUAAUCCUUGUAUGGUAAAAGGAAAAUGCAAAUGCCAUUAUCCACGACCAUAUUGUGAAAGCACACAACAAGGUAAAGAUGGAUAUCCAAUUUACAGAAGAAGAAAAAAUGGAUCAAUUGUACGUGUUCGGAAUGCAGACUUAGACAACCAAUGGGUUGUGCCAUAUAAUGCACAUCUAUUGUCCAGAUACAACUGCCAUAUUAAUGUCGAGGUAUGCUCUGGUAUCACAGCUGUUAAGUAUUUGUACAAAUAUAUCUAUAAGGGACAUGAUAGGGUGGCCGUUCAUAUAACCCAAGAUGAUGAGCCGCGUCAAGUUGAUGAAAUCAAACAAUUUCAAGAUGCACGAUGGGUAUCUGCACAAGAAGCAAUGUGGAGAAUUUGUGAAUUUGGUCUGAAUGAUAUUUCUCCAGCAGUUAUCAACUUACAGCUUCACCUUCCUAACAAACAGUUUGUAUCCUAUCACGCAUCCCAAAAUCUGCAGAACCUUUUAUUGUGGGAUCAUGUUUCAAAAACAAUGCUAACUGAAUAUUUUACUAUGUGUGCUACAAGUGAAAAGGCAAGGCAAUUUCUCUACAGAGAAUUUCCAGAGCAUUACGUAUGGAAUAAGAAGGACAAAAUUUGGACAGAAAGGCAUAAAAUUAGUGUUAUUGGACGUAUAAGUGCAGUUAGUCCGAUUGAAGGAGAAAGGUACUAUGAAAAAUUAUUGUUGAAUCAUGUUAGGGGACCAACCUCUUUCCGACAUUUAUUGACGGUUAAUGGUAUAGAAUGCUCAACAUUCAAAGAAGCGGCACAAAAAAGGGGUUUAUUAGAAGCUGAUCAUAGCAUUUUCGAUUGCAUGAAUGAGGCAAUAACAUUUCAAAUGCCAAAUGAACAACGCAGGUUGUUUGCAAUAAUCUUGGUACAUUGUGCACCGACUGAUGUAAGAGUUUUAUGGGAUACUUACUUUGAUGCAAUGUCUGAAGAUUUUAAAAGGGAUGCCAAUAC